rnacentral:rRNA from 1 species
GACGAACGCUGGCGGCGUGCUUAACACAUGCAAGUCGAGCGGUAAGGCCCUUUCGGGGGUACACGAGCGGCGAACGGGUGAGUAACACGUGGGUGACCUGCCCUCAGCUCUGGGAUAAGCCUGGGAAACCGGGUCUAAUACUGGAUAUGACUCCAUGACGCAUGUUGUGGGGUGGAAAGCCUUGUGCGGCUGAGGAUGGGCCCGCGGCCUAUCAGCUUGUUGGNGGGUGAUGGCCUACCAAGGCGACGACGGGUAGCCGGCCUGAGAGGGCGACCGGCCACACUGGGACUGAGACACGGCCCAGACU